GGUUGUAUAGUGUAGUGGUGAGCACAUCGGUUUUUGAAGAGGUUUCUAUAGACCACAUUCGUCAACUACCGAUAACCCAGGUUCGAACCCUGGUACGACCU
rnacentral:tRNA from 1 species